rnacentral:lncRNA from 1 species
CCCUAUGUUCUAUUUUUAGCCGUGGCGGCCAUCUUGGUUGGUUGACCGGGUCACGCCACACAUUUUUUAAACUAGAUACCCCAAUGAUGAUUGUGGCCAAGUUUGGUUUGAUUUGGCCCAGUAGUUUCAGAGGAGAAGAUUUUUGUAAAAGUUAACGACGACGGACGACGACGGACGACGACGGACGACGACGGACGACGGACGACGACGACGACGACGACGGACGCCAAGUGAUGAGAAAAGCUCACUUGGCCCUUCGGGCCAGGUGAGCUAAAAAGGAC